rnacentral:ribozyme from 14 species
AAGACAAAAUUUACACAAGAGAUAGAUCUGAUGUGGCUGUCGCAAACUUGAAUGUCAUUUAUCUUUUCCUUCCUUGGCGUGGAAUUUACGUUUUCUUUUUUUUUCUCUCUCUCUUCUUUUCCUUCUUC